rnacentral:rRNA from 1 species
UACGGAGGGUGCAAGCGUUAUCCGGAUUCACUGGGUUUAAAGGGUGCGUAGGUGGGUCUGUAAGUCAGUGGUGAAAUCUCCGUGCUUAACAUGGAAACUGCCAUUGAUACUAUAGGUCUUGAAUUUUCUGGAGGUAAGCGGAAUAUGUCAUGUAGCGGUGAAAUGCUUAGAUAUGACAUAGAACACCAAUUGCGAAGGCAGUUCACUACGGGAUCAUUGACACUGAGGCACGAAAGCGUGGGGAUCAAACAGG